GGUUUCUCCCCAUGUAAGAGGACAACUCCACCGUGCCAACACCCAGGCCUACAAUUUCCUACACUCUUCCGGAGCGGACGUGGGAACAGCCCUUGUCAUUGUUACAUACCAAGAGUUUGGAUGGAUCCGUAGAAAAAUAUUGACUGCAUCCACCUUGGAACAAGAUCAGAUGGACAUAAACCCACACAUACUGUACAGUACCUGAAUCUAGCUAUCUCCACCCUCCUAUCUCUCCACUGGUCGUAAAGCUCCAUCUGUAGCUCAUGAAACCUGAUACUCCUGUGUCUCUGCCUGCAGUGCACGCUGUCCUGCACACAUUCUGGUUGCCUGGUUAUGCUGCUGCACAAGAGGGAAAGCUAGUGAUGUGAGUGUGCUCCAGGUGGGGCCCCUCUGAUAAAGGGGGGCCCGGGAUAUAGUAUGACAUGUGCAUCCCUUCGUAAUCUGGCUAUGAGUAAUGCCCUGAACAAGAUGCAAAAGAAUGUUUUUAAAAAAACUGUAAAGAUAUGCAGAUAAAAAUAAGAAUAGUGUUUGUAAAAACUACAUGUGAUUAAUGAUCUGGAACUGCCAAAUAACUUUGUCCUAGAGGUAUUGGGAUGUAUAUUUCAGCCCCUGAUGACUCAUGUCACAGUUGGCUUUGAUUCAUUAAACGUUUCCGAGCUGCCCAUUAUUUCAAUCCACAGCAUGAUUUGGCUGUUUCUACAAUUCAGAAAGUCUUUAAUGGAUUUUGGAAUA